rnacentral:tRNA from 1 species
UCCGUUAUGGUCUAGGUAAGCUCAGCAGUUCCCUCAUCCAACAACUUCAACUAACAACGACAAGUGGCUAGGAUACAUCGCUCUCAUUAGCAAGCGCCGAUGUGGCCGGGGUUCGAUUCCCCGUGACGGAA